GUCUAUGGCCGUAGCACCCUGAACGCGCCCGGUCUCCUCUGAUGUGGGAAGCUAAGCAGGGUCGGGCCUGGUUAGUACUUGGAUGAGAGACCGCCUGGGAAUACCGGCUGCUGUAGGCU
ensembl:rRNA 5S_rRNA 5S ribosomal RNA